rnacentral:rRNA from 1 species
UACAGAGGUGGCAAGCGUUGUUCGGAAUUACUGGGCGUAAAGGGCGCGUAGGCGGUCUUGUAAGUCUUGUGUGAAAUCCCUCGGCUCAACUGAGGAACUGCACGGGAUACUGCGAGACUUGAGUUCGGGAGAGGGUAGUGGAAUUUCCGGUGUAGCGGUGAAAUGCGUAGAGAUCGGAAGGAACACCAGUGGCGAAGGCGGCUACCUGGACAGAUACUGACACUGAGGCACGAAAGCGUGGGGAGCAAACAGG